rfam:Trichuris trichiura, WGS project CBXK01000000 data, contig: TTRE_1277
GCGUAGAUGGUGUAGGUGUUAACAUGGUUGCCUUCCAAGCAAUCAAUACGAGUUCGACUCCCGCUCUAAACA